rnacentral:rRNA from 1 species
UGGGGAAUUUUGGACAAUGGGCGAAAGCCUGAUCCAGCAAUGCCGCGUGUGUGAAGAAGGCCUUCGGGUUGUAAAGCACUUUUGUCCGGAAAGAAAUCCUUGGCUCUAAUACAGUCGGGGGAUGACGGUACCGGAAGAAUAAGCACCGGCUAACUACGUGCCAGCAGCCGCGGUAAUACGUAGGGUGCAAGCGUUAAUCGGAAUUACUGGGCGUAAAGCGUGCGCAGGCGGUUUGCUAAGACCGAUGUGAAAUCCCCGGGCUCAACCUGGGAACUGCAUUGGUGACUGGCAGGCUAGAGUAUGGCAGAGGGGGGUAGAAUUCCACGUGUAGCAGUGAAAUGCGUAGAGAUGUGGAGGAAUACCGAUGGCGAAGGCAGCCCCCUGGGCCAAUACUGACGCUCAUGCACGAAAGCGUGGGGAGCAAACAGGAUUAGAUACCCUGGUAGUCCACGCCCUAAAACGAUGUCAACUAGUUGUUGGGGAAUUCAUUUCCUUAGUAACGUAGCUAACGCGUGAAGUUGACCGCCUGGGGAGUACGUCGCAAGAUUAAAACUCAAAGGAAUUGACGGGGUC